AGUGAACGCUGGCGGUAGGCCUAACACAUGCAAGUCGAACGGCAGCACAGUAAGAGCUUGCUCUUACGGGUGGCGAGUGGCGGACGGGUGAGGAAUACAUCGGAAUCUACUUUUUCGUGGGGGAUAACGUAGGGAAACUUACGCUAAUACCGCAUACGACCUACGGGUGAAAGCAGGGGAUCUUCGGACCUUGCGCGAUUGAAUGAGCCGAUGUCGGAUUAGCUAGUUGGCGGGGUAAAGGCCCACCAAGGCGACGAUCCGUAGCUGGUCUGAGAGGAUGAUCAGCCACACUGGAGGUGAGACACGGUCCAGACCCCUACGGGAGGCAGCAGUGGGGAAUAGUGGACAAUGGGCGCAAGCCUGAUCCAGCCAUACCGCGUGGGUGAAGAAGGCCUUCGGGUUGUAAAGCCCUUUUGUUGGGAAAGAAAAGCAGCAGGUUAAUACCCCGCUGUUCUGACGGUACCCAAAGAAUAAGCACCGGCUAACUUCGUG
rnacentral:rRNA from 1 species